UACGUAGGGGGCGAGCGUUGUCCGGAAUUAUUGGGCGUAAAGAGCGUGUAGGCGGCCAGACAGGUCCGUUGUGAAAACUCGAGGCUCAACCUCGAGAUGUCGAUGGAAACCGUCUGGCUAGAGUCCGGAAGAGGAGUGUGGAAUUCCUGGUGUAGCGGUGAAAUGCGCAGAUAUCAGGAAGAACACCUAUGGCGAAGGCAGCACUCUGGGACGGUACUGACGCUGAGACGCGAAAGCGUGGGGAGCGAACAGG
rnacentral:rRNA from 1 species